rnacentral:rRNA from 1 species
AUUGAACGCUGGCGGCAUGCCUUACACAUGCAAGUCGAACGGUAACAGGUCUUCGGAUGCUGACGAGUGGCGAACGGGUGAGUAAUACAUCGGAACGUGCCUAGUAGUGGGGGAUAACUACUCGAAAGAGUGGCUAAUACCGCAUGAGAUCUACGGAUGAAAGCAGGGGAUCGCAAGACCUUGUGCUACUAGAGCGGCCGAUGGCAGAUUAGGUAGUUGGUGGGAUAAAAGCUUACCAAGCCGACGAUCUGUAGCUGGUCUGAGAGGACGAUCAGCCACACUGGGACUGAGACACGGCCCAGACUCCUACGGGAGGCAGCAGUGGGGAAUUUUGGACAAUGGGCGCAAGCCUGAUCUAGCAAUGCCGCGUGCAGGAUGAAGGCCUUCGGGUUGUAAACUGCUUUUGUACGGAACGAAAAGCCCUGGGUUAAUACCCUGGGGUCAUGACGGUACCGUAGGAAUAAGCACCGGCUAACUACGUGCCAGCAGCCGCCCGUAACAC